rnacentral:rRNA from 1 species
GUGAGGAAUAUUGGACAAUGGAUGGAAAUCUGAUCCAGCCAUGCCGCGUGCAGGAAGACGGCCCUAUGGGUUGUAAAGCUCUGUUAUAAGGGACGAACAGCUUUGCUAGGAAAUGAGCAGAGUCUGACGGUACUUUAUCAGAAAGCCACGGCUAACUACGUGCCAGCAGCCGCGGUAAUACGUAGGGGGCAAGCGUUAUCCGGAUUUACUGGGUGUAAAGGGAGCGUAGACGGAAUGGCAAGUCUGAAGUGAAAUCCUGCGGCUUAACUGCAGAAUUGCUUUGGAAACUGUCAAUCUGGAGUGUUGGAGAGGUAAGCGGAAUUCCUGGUGUAGCGGUGAAAUGCGUAGAUAUCAGGAAGAACACCGGAGGCGAAGGCGGCUUACUGGACAAUAACUGACGUUGAGGCUCGAAAGCGUGGGAAGCAAACAGGAUUAGAAACCCUGGUAGUCC